GGAGCGCAUGCGUAAUUUCCGGAACUCGGCGACCUUUACGCAUGUGCAUGUGAUCGCCUGGUCACCGACGGCGAAUUCUCAAAGUACGAGUCUGACAAUUAUCUUUUUACCAAAGACUGAGGUAAACUUCGCCGUGAAUGGUCAAGCCGGCUGUGAAAGGAGGAGGUUUCGGCAUGGGGCACAUAACCCCAUCUUGUAAAAACCUAGUCUACAGAAAUUCCAAAGACCUCAAUGCAGGGAGGAGGAAGAUGUUCACCUAGAUGGGCAGAUGGACUACACCCGAGGACAAGUUGAAGGACUGGCACAGGACUGAGGAUUCUGGGUUCUUUUGAAGACCCUGACCUGGAGUUACACGCUGACUACGGUUCUUUAGGGAAUGGGACCCACUCUCGGGGUUCCACAAUCGGCAUGCCAAAGGUUUGGCCUAAGAUUUCGGCAUGGAUUCAGAAGCCUGGGAUCGCGAGGAACAAAGGUCAAGGGAAGCAAUCGCGAUUGAAAAUAAAGUGGAAAUAAUAAAGCGUUUGGGAAGAGGUGAAACGCCAUCGGUCAUUGGAAAAGCGUCAGGCUACAGUCGGUCAACGUUUGGAACAAUUUUAAAGGAUAACAGAUAAAGUGAGAAUAAUGGAGCAUGUGAAACGCCCUGCCCCGAUGAAAGGUCUUAUUGGAUCCGUGAGAACUGCUGAGUCACAACUCUUUGUGCUCUAUGAAAGGAAUGGAGAGGAAAAGAAUCAAUAAAUUUUCUGUAAACUGUACAGUGAUGAAACAGACUGCACUUGAGCUGCAAUAUAAAGUUCAAGGCACAAACACUAUUAAUAUUUCAGUAAUAGUUUAAUAAUACUCUCAAUAUAUUGUUUGAUUCAGCAUUCUGUUUGUUGACAUAAUUCUUUAUGAGUUAUUCGUCAUUAUACCGACAUAUCACGAAAGAAAACAAACUAAGUACAGGAGUGUCCCUGUAUUUCUUUUGAUCGAGUCACAAAACACAAUAAAUACAAGGGUAUUUCUGUUCUGAUCAACAGACAGAACUGAACACUAGUAUUUCAGGCUAUUAAUUUAUCCACCUUUCAUUGAAAUGUUAACUUCUAUGGAGUGAAAAUAAUUUUACAAUCUCAAGAAAAUAUAUGAAUCAGGAAGAAAAUUGUUCAACUUGGCCUUCAUCUUAUCAAACCCCUUUCAAGGCUGCUUCCUUGAAACCCACACAACUUAGCUCUGCCUGUUUUUUUUUUAAUGAACAUGAGAUGUUUCUCUCUAAAUUAAAAUAAUUCAUUUCACAGUUCUGUCAACAUAACAAGCAGAGGACAAGCACAAAACUCUGAGGCAUCAUAUCUUGUUUUACAGCAUUUUGGUUAUUGCAGAAAACAGCUAUAUGAAUUCAAAUUAUCAUCCUCCAGUACAUUAAAUCCUGUGCAAUUUAGGAGGAGACACACUUGCUUUUGCUCAAUUAUUCCUAAUCAGAAACCAGUGUUAACAUUUCUAUGGUGCCAGCAACCCAGUUCUCUGUGAGAAGCUUGUACGUUCUCCCUGUGAUCAUGUGGGUUUUCUCUGGGUGGUCACAAGGAUGUAAUUGGGUGGAAUGAGCUCAUUGGGCCAGAAGCGCCUGUUAGCAUGCUGUAUCUCAAGUAAACAGACCCAUGCCAGUUCAGGCAAGUGAAAAUCCCCUCAUAUUCCGUGAAAUGCUUUUGUAAUGAUUAUGCCAGCAAGGUACUCUGUCUUCAAUAGGACUCGAUGCUUAUCCUGGCUGCUGUGUUCUGGGAGAAGCUGAUCUUAAAUGGAAUGGCAGGGAACCAAAGACAACAUGGGUUAGCAGAUUUCGGACAUUCUUGCAGACAGAAUCAUCAGUUUCAAGGAGGAAGCUUCAAAUGUACUUUUUUUCUCUCUCAGACAAGAAGAAACCACAGUUGAGCAGCUGUACAGAAUACCGGCUAUCUACAGUAUCUAUGUAUGAUUCCAUUUUAGCACAAACACAAUCACACCAGACAUAAAUGUGAAUGCUGCUAUGUUACAAAUCAGCAACAAUGAAUAUAUGAUUGACAGGUUUUUUUAAUAUAACAAAUGAAACAUUUAUUAAACACUGUUAAAAAAAACCCAAAAGUAAACAAACGACUAACUUAACCGGAAGUCAGCUGCGAUACGGCAGCUCGAAUAGUUCUUAAAGCGAGAAUACGAAAACAGUUCUUAAAGCGAUAAUGCGAAAACAGUUCCUAGAAGUAGUAAUGCGAAAGUCCAAAUGCUUACACAGUCCGUUGAAGGAGAGUUUUCUUGAAAUGAUUUAAAUCCUCUUUCGUGGAGUUACUGCUGAUCCCAUCCGAAGGAUGUUAUUCCCCGGAGGAUUUACGAUCGAAGGAAAUAAAACGACUUAAAGGCAGUGAGCUUUCUUUGUCAAAACUCUGUAUCCAACCCUCUACUCUUCUGGCAGAACAGGGGUUAUCAUGGAUACUCGUUACUAAUUCCUCGUGUGAAGAUUAAACAAAGGUCGAAUCUGUUUCACCGUCGACAUUAACUUUCCCAAUCCUUUGGGAUUUCCGAACUCCUUUAAGAUCUUCACUCUCCACUGACCAAACUGACAUAGACAUAGAAUAGUACAGCACAUUACAGGCCCUUCGGCUCACGAUGUUGUGCCGACAUUCAGACCCUGCCUCCCAUUUAACCCCCCACCUUAAAUUCCUCCAUAUACCUGUCUAGUAGUCUCUUAAACUUCACUAGUGUAUCUGCCUCAGGCAGUGCAUUCCAUGCACCAACCGCUCUCUGAGUGAAAAACCUUCCUCUAAUAUCCCCCUUGAACUUCCCUCCCCUUACCUUAAAGCCAUGUCCUCUUGUACUGAGCAGUGGUGCCCUGGGGAAGAGGCGCUGGCUGUCCACUCUGUCUAUUCCCCUUAAUACCUUGUAUACCUCUAUCAUGUCUCCUCUCAUCCUCCUUCUCUCCAGACAGUAAAGUCCUAGCUCCCUUAAUCUCUGAUCAUAAUCCAUACUCCCUAAACCAGGCAGCAUCCUGGUAAAUCUCCUCUGUAUCCUUUCCAAUGCUUCCGCAUCCUUCCUAUAGCGAGACGACCAGAACUGGUCAUAGUACUCUAAGUGUGGCCUAACCAGAGUUUUAUACAGCUGCAUCAUUACAUCACGUCUCUUAAACUCUAUCCCUCGACUUAUGAAAGCUAACACCCCAUAAGCUUUCUUAACUACCCUAUCUACCAGUGAGGCAACUUUCAGGGAUCUGUGGACAUGUACCUCCAGAUCCCUCUGCUCCUCCACACUACCAAGUAUCUUGCCAUUUACUUUGUACUCUGCCUUGGAGUUUGUCCUUCCAAAGUGUACCACCACACACUUCUCCGGGUUGAACUCCAUCUGCCACUUCUCAGCCCACUUCUGCAUCCUAUCAAUGUCUCUCUGCAAUCUUCAACAAUCCUCUACACUAUCUACCACACCACCAACCUUUGUAUCGUCUGCAAACUUGCCAACCCACCCUUCUACACCCACAUCCAGGUCAUUAAUGAAAAUUACAAAAAGUAGAGGUCCCAGAACAGAUCCUUGUGGGACACCACUAGUCACAACCCUCCAAUCUGAAUGUACUCCCUCCACCACGACCCUCUGCCUUCUGCAGGCAAGCCAAUUCUGAAUCCACCUGGCCAAACUUUCCUGGAUCCCAUGCCUUCUGACUUUCUGAAUAAGCCUACCAUGUGGAACCUUACUAAAAUCCAUGUAGAUCAUAUCCACUGCACUACCCUCAUCUAUAUGCCUGGUCACCUCCUCAAAGGACACCAUCAGGCUUGUUAAACACGAUCUGCCCUUCACAAAGCCAUGCUGACUGUCCCUGAUCAGACCAUGAUUCUCUAAAUGCCCAUAGAUCCUAUCUUUAAGAAUCUUUUCCAACUGCUUUCCCACCACAGAUGUAAGGCUCACUGGUCUAUAAUUAGCUGGACUAUCCCUACUACCUUUUUUGAAGAAGGGGACAACAUUCGCCUCCCUCCAGUCCUCCGGUAGCAUUCCCGUGGACAACGAGGACAUAAAGAUCCUAGCCAGAGGUUCAGUAAUCUCUUCCCAUGCCUCAUGGAGCAGCCUGGGGAAUAUUCCGUCAGGCCCCGGGGACUUAUCUGUCCUAAUGUAUUUUAACAACUCCAACACCUCCUCUCCCUUAAUAUUAACAUGCUCCAGAACAUCAACCUCACUCAUAUUGUCCUCACUGUCAUCAAGUUUCCUCUUGGGAUGAAUACCAAAGAGAAGUAUUCAUUGAGGACCUCGCUCACUUCCACAGCCUCCAGGCACAUCUUCCCACUUUUAUCUCUAAUCGGUCCUAUCUUCACUCCUGUCAUCCUUUUGUUCUUUACAUAACUGAAGAAUGCCUUGGGGUUUUCCUUUACCCUACUUGCCAAGGCCUUCUCAUGCCCCCUUCUUGCUCUUCUCAGCCCCUUCUUAAGCUCCUUUCUUGCUACCCUAUAUUCCUCAAUAGACCCAUCUGAUCCUUGCUUCCUAAACCUCUUGUAUACUGCCUUCUUCCACCUGACUAAAUUUUCCACCUCACUUUUCACCCAUGAUUCCUUCACCCUACCAUUCUUCAUCUUCCUCACUGGGACAAAUUUAUCCCUAACAUCCUGUAAGAGAUCCCUAAACAUCGACCACAUGUCCAUAGUACAUUUCCCUGCAAAAACAUCAUCCCAAUUCACACCCGCAAGUUCUAGCCUUAUAGCCUCAUAAUUUGCCCUUCCCCAAUUAAAAAUAUUCCUUUCCUCUCUGAUUCUAUCUUUUUCCAUGAUAAUGCUAAAGGUCAGGGAGUGGUGAUCACUGUCCCCCAGAUGCUCACCCACUGACAGAUCUGUGACCUGACCCGGUUCGUUACCUAAUACUAGAUCUAGUAUGGCAUUCCCCUAAGUCGGCCUGUCAGCAUACUGUGACAGGAAUCCAUCUUGGACACACUUAACAAACUCUGCCCCAUCUAAACCCUUGGAACUAAUCAAGUGCCAAUCAAUAUUAGGGAAGUUAAAGUCACCCAUGAUAACAACCCUGUUAUUUUUGCACCUUUCCAAAAUCUGCCUCCCAAUCUGCUCCUCGGUAUCUCUGUUGCUACCAGGGGGCCUAUAGAAUACCCCCAGUAGAGUAACUGCUCCCUUCCUGUUCCUGACUUCCACCCAUACUGACUCAAAAGAGGAUCCUGCUACAUUACCCACCCUUUCUGCAGCUGUAAUAGUAUCCCUGACCAGUAAUGCCACCCCUCCUCUCCCCUCUCUAUCCCUUUUAAAGCACUGAAAUCCAGGAAUAUUGAGAAUCCAUUCCUGCCCUGGUGCCAGCCAAGUCUCCGUAAUGGCCACUACAUCAUAAUUCCAUGUAUGUAUCCAAGCUCUCAGUUCAUCACCUUUGUUCCUGAUGCUUCUUGCAUUGAAGUACACACACUUUAGCCCUUCUACCUUUAUACCCUUUAUUCUGCUUCUCUUUCCUCAAAGCCUCUCUAUAUGUUAGAUCUGGCUGUACUCCAUGCACUUCUUCCACUGCUCUAUCGCUCCGGGUCCCAUCCCCCUUGCAAAUUAGUUUAAACCCUCCCGAACCAUGCUAGCAAACCUACCAGCAAGGAUAUUUCUCCCCCUCGAGUUCAGGUGCAACCCAUCCAAUCUGUACAGGUCCCACUUUCCCCAGAAGAGAUCCCAAUGGUCCAAAAAUCUAAAACCCUGCCCCCCACACCAACUCCUCAGCCACGCAUUCAACUGCCAUCUCCUCCAGUUCUUACUAUCACUAUCACGUAGCACUGGCAGUGAUCCUGAGAACGCCACCCUUGAGGUCCUGUUCUUCAGCCUUCUGUCUAGCUCCCAAAACUCACACUUCAGGACCUCAAGCCUCUUUCCUGCCUAACUGGCAGUAUUAUAGCGAAACUGCCAGCAAUAACCUUUGAGACUUAGAAAGUAAAAUGCCACUUUUAAAUGAAACUGUGUCAUAAUAUCAGAAUACGCAGCAACAUGGAGUCAGUGGCAAAUUCAGCCACGAACUGCCUGUCACCGGGUGGGGUUCUCCUUUUAUACCCUGUUGAAAAAAAACUAUCGCAUGACCUCUCACUGGCAGGAAAAUGAUGUUACUCCAUCACAAGACCAUUACCUCAUCUCCAGCAUAGCUUCAAUUAUAUCAUGGUCACAUGACAGGUACAAGAUACCCAAGGGUACCUAACACCUCCCUCCAAAAAAAAUCUUGAUCUGUCAAGAACAAAAUUUUAACAAUUAACUAUUUACAGGAGAAGAAAUACAAACAUACAAAAUUUACAAUGUACACAGUAUACAUAAUAUUAUCAUACAUCAACUGACAGAUUAUUACACAGGAGUGUUACAAAUGGUAAAAUAUCACUCCAUUAAAAAAAUUACAUUGUACAUUCAACAUCGGGAUAGACAAUCAGCAAUCACAUUAUCUUUACCUUAAUAUGAGUUAUUACAUUAUUGUACUCUUGUAACAUUAAACCUUUCGCUACUGAAUUGGAGUUUAAUGGAUUUCUUUAAUCAUUUUCUUUAACCAAGCCUGGAUUUACAACAGAACUAAGGUAAGUCACAGUGGCAUUUCCGAAUUCACUUUUAGCCAAGUUAAUAGUUAAGUUAGCUUUGGAAAGCCUUUCAAGCAAUUUCUCCACCGCAAUAAUGUGUGCUUCCCAAGUAUCAUUUCCUGUUAGCAAAUCAUCAAUAUAAGCAUCUGUAUCUUUCAAUCCCUGAAUCACAGAGUUAAUCAUCCUCUGGAAAGUACUUGGGGCAUUCUUCAUCCCAAAUGGAAGAACAUUAUAUUCAUAUAACCCAAAUGCAGAAAUCUCUCUAACCCUAUCUGUUAAUGGAACACACCAAUACCCUUUCAAUAAAUCAACCUUUGUAAGGAACUUAGCUUUUCCAACUUUAUCUACACAAUCAUCUACUCUAGGA